rnacentral:rRNA from 1 species
AUUGAACGCUGGCGGCAUGCUUUACACAUGCAAGUCGAGCGGCAGCGCGGGGGCAACCCUGGCGGCGAGCGGCGGACGGGUGAGUAAUGCAUCGGAACGUAUCCCGUAGUGGGGGACAACCCAGCGAAAGCUGGGCUAAUACCGCAUAUGCUCUACGGAGGAAAGUGGGGGACCCGCAAGGGCCUCACGCUAUGGGAGCGGCCGAUGUCCGAUUAGCUAGUUGGUGGGUAAAGGCCCACCAAGGCGACGAUCGGUAGCUGGUCUGAGAGGAUGAUCAGCCACACUGGGACUGAGACACGGCCCAGACUCCUACGGGAGGCAGCAGUGGGGAAUUUUGGACAAUGGGGGCAACCCUGAUCCAGCCAUGCCGCGUGCGGGAAGAAGGCCUUC